GAUGAACGCUAGCGACAGGCUUAACACAUGCAAGUCGAGGGGCAGCGAGAAAGUGCUUGCACUUUUGUCGGCGACCGGCGCACGGGUGAGUAACACGUAUGCAACCUGCCCUUGUCAGGGGGAUAAGCGGGGGAAACCCCGUCUAAUACCGCAUAUAUGAUUUGGAGGCAUCUUUAAAUCAGGAAAGAAUUAUCGGACAAGGAUGGGCAUGCGGGACAUUAGGUAGUUGGGGGGUGUAACGGACCACCAAGCCGACGAUGUCUAGGGGUUCUGAGAGGAAGGUCCCCCACACUGGUACUGAGACACGGACCAGACUCCUACGGGAGGCAGCAGUGAGGAAUAUUGGUCAAUGGGCGAGAGCCUGAACCAGCCAAGUCGCGUGAAGGUGACGGCCCUAUGGGUCUUAAACUUCUUUUGCAAGGGAGCAAUAAGGCGUACGUGUACGUCGAUGAGAGUACCUUGCGAAUAAGCAUCGGCUAACUCCGUG
rnacentral:rRNA from 1 species